rnacentral:rRNA from 1 species
GAUGAACGCUAGCGGGAGGCCUAAUACAUGCAAGUCGAGCGGUAGAGUGACUUCGGUUGCUUGAGAGCGGCGAACGGGUGAGUAACGCGUACACAAUCUACCUUUAAGAGGGGAAUAGCCCUGGGAAACUGGGAUUAAUGCCCCAUGGCAUCACGAAGUGGCAUCGCUUUGUGAUUAAAGCUGAGGUGCUUAGAGAUGAGUGUGCGUCUGAUUAGCUAGUUGGUGCGGUAACGGCGCACCAAGGCGACGAUCAGUAGGGGGCGUGAGAGCGUGGACCCCCACACGGGUACUGAGACACGGACCCGACUCCUACGGGAGGCAGCAGUAAGGAAUAUUGGUCAAUGGAGGAAACUCUGAACCAGCCAUCCCGCGUGCAGGAAGAAUGCCCUAUGGGUUGUAAACUGCUUUUGUUAGGGAAGAAACCCCUCGAUUUAUCGGGGGCUGACGGUACCUUUCGAAUAAGCACCGGCUAACUCCGUGCCAGCAGCCGCGGUAAAGUCUAG